rnacentral:rRNA from 1 species
GUUAAUGAUUUAUAUAUGAAAAUUAUUAAUAAACUAGGAUUAGAUACCCUAUUAUAAUAAUUGUAAUUUUUUUUAUUAUUAAUAGUUAUGAUCUUUAAAUUAAAAGAAUUUGGCGGUUAUUUAAUCUUUUUAGAGGAACCUGUUCUGUAAUUGAUAAUCCACGAUUGAUUUUACUUUUAUUUUUUGUUUAUAUAUCGCUGUCAUUGAAUGUUUUAAAAGAUAAAUUUUCUUAAAUUUUUAUGAAUUUAAUGUUAGGUCAAGAUGUAGCUAUAUAAAAGUAGAGAUGGGUUACAUUUUUAUUAUAAUUGGAUAAAAUUUUGGAAUUUUUUUUUUGAAAUUGGAUUUAAAUGUAAUUUUUUAUAAAUAUAAAUUUUGAUUUUAGUUCUAAAUAAUGUACACAUCGCCCGUCACUCCCAUUUUGAGUUGGGAUAAGUCGUAACAAAGUAGACCCACCGGAAGGUGGGUCUGGAAAGAUC